GUACUCUGUCCCAAACUUUGUGAUGGAUUACUAUGCAAAAAUUCGGAAAAUGAAUGAAACACACACACAACAAAGAGUCGGACGAAAGAUCUGGAGCGAGGGAUUGACAGAAAGAGAGAGAAAGGAAGAAGAGAAGCGUGGCGGUGAUUUGGCAGCUGCCCGGUGCCCAGCUGCAUUGGAAACCUCCUGCCGCUUCUCCCUUUGCGGUGGUUCCCUCCCGGAUCGGUUUGUUUGGGGGACGGGUGUCCUGGGUGGGUGUCUGGCUACGCUCCCCUGCGGCAGGGCUGGCUGCUGGGGCUGUGACUGUGGCUCUACCCCCUGGGGGGCUGAGGAAUGGAGGUCUGGCCAGAGUGAGUUCUCCCUCUCUCUCUCCUGUCGUCCCCUAUCCCCUUAACCGGUAGCUGAACUGUCAAAACCACCACCUUGUCAUAUACCUCUUCAUUCUGUCUCUCUCUCAUCCCCCUUUGUCCAGCUCUUCGCUGGGUAAAGAUCAUUUUGAAUUAUCUCUUACCUGUCAGUAGUUACUAAGUGAUUUUUAAGUGCAUGUUUCCCUUAAAUUGAGUGUUAAAAUGUAGUGUUAGAGCUGUUCACCUAUAGGGACCGUGGGACUAAAGAGUGCGUGCUUCUGUUUAGUAAAUCAGUGAGCAUUUUAUACUUGCUCGAAAAGCAUGUCAAAAUUGAGGCCGUUGGUAAACGUAUCCACACAACCACCAGUCACACACAUAUGCACAAUGUGGCAGUUUGGAUCUUUUUUAUUGUUAUUGUAAGUCAGGACUUUUACCAAAGAAUACACAACUAUGAAGGAUAGCUCAACCUUUGGAAGCAAAGUACACUUCCUCCUCUCAUUUCCUGUCUCUGUCUGUGAAUGGAUUUUAUUGCUGUAGACAUUCAUAACUUGAAGGACAGAGCUCAAAUACUUAACUGAUAGAUUUACAGAGCCAAAGAUUUUGGUACUGACUCAAAUUGUUCUGAAUUUAAUUACGUUACACCAAAGAAUAAAUGUUUGUUUUACAGUGAUAUUGAAACAUGUUGAUGAAAUUGAAAGAUGGUAAAAAGUGAGAAAAUGUGAUGGUUCAGUUCAUUUGGAUAGUCUGGUGCCUGUUUGUUCUUGAUAAACUGCUGUUGUUUUUGUUUCUCAAUUUUGACUGUGCUUUAAAAACCAAUUUUUAAGUUCUACUCCCACAAUAAUGAAACUAUACUGUGGCAUUAUAGCUGUCAUCUGAAGCUAGUAAAAUGCCUUUUCAAUCUCCUAUAUUUCAGCUUCUGAAAUUUAAAAUAGACCAUCUAAGCAACUUUGUAACACCCUAUCGUCUUAGUGCCUCAUAAUAUUCCUCAGCUUUAGAUUUAAAAUGGAUUAAAUAAUUUUCAGGAUUUUGCCGUAUUCCUCCCCUGUAGUUCAGUAUUAGAUUUGUUUUUGUCAGGGGGUGCGCACUUGAGCUCCUACCAACUGGUGUUGCUAUGCAGCAGUCUGAAGCUAGAUUGAUUAAACAGUCUGGAAUGCCAGACAACCAAUAGUCUCACACUCAGGUUUGAUUUGCUGAAAUUACAUUCUAGCAGAUGCCAGAUGUGAUGAUUUCCUGAAAGGCAACUAACACAUGCAAUUCAAAUGGUAAUUAUAAAUCCUUAUAAGUCAAGAAACCUGAUCAUGAUUGCACAUAAUGGCAUGGCAGAUGAAAAUAUAUAUUUCUGGAAUCAAUUAUUUGGAAUUUAAAAAAGUUUGAUUGUUUUAUGUGGAUUUGAUGUGAUUUUUAUCAAGAUUGCUGAGGCUUCCUAAAGAGAGCAAUCUGAACUCUUUGGUUCUGAGGUGACCCCUGUUAUAUAUAUUACUAAAACACUGGCAAAUACAUUUUCCAUUUCUUUUGUUGAAAAA